CCGUAGUGUGAACCUGCGGAGGGAUCAUUACCGAGUUAUACAACUCAUCAACCCUGUGAACAUACCUAAACGUUGCUUCGGCGGGAAUAGACGGCCCCGUGAAACGGGCCGCCCCCGCCAGAGGACCCCUAACUCUGUUUCUAUAAUGUUUCUUCUGAGUAAAACAAGCAAAUAAAUUAAAACUUUCAACAACGGAUCUCUUGGCUCUGGCAUCGAUGAAGAACGCAGCGAAAUGCGAUAAGUAAUGUGAAUUGCAGAAUUCAGUGAAUCAUCGAAUCUUUGAACGCACAUUGCGCCCGCCAGUAUUCUGGCGGGCAUGCCUGUUCGAGCGUCAUUACAACCCUCAGGCCCCCGGGCCUGGCGUUGGGGAUCGGCGGAGCCCCCCCGUGGGCACACGCCGUCCCCCAAAUACAGUGGCGGUCCCGCCGCAGCUUCCAUCGCGUAGUAGCUAACACCUCGCGACUGGAGAGCGGCGCGGCCACGCCGUAAAACACCCAACUCUUCUGAAGUUGACCUCGAAUCAGGUAGGAAUACCCGCUGAACUUAAGCAUAUCAAUAAGUCGGGAGGAAA
rnacentral:rRNA from 1 species